ensembl:lncRNA MIR4435-2HG MIR4435-2 host gene
UUUUUUUUUUUUCCUUCUUAGUCGUGUGUACAUCAUUGGGAAUGGAGGGAAAUAAAUGACUGGAUGGUCGCUGCUUUUUAAGUUUCAAAUUGACAUUCCAGACAAGCGGUGCCUGAGCCCGUGCCUGUCUUCAGAUCUUCACAGCACAGUUCCUGGGAAGGUGGAGCCACCAGCCUCUCCCUGACAAGCAAAGUGGAUCAGCAAAGGCUGCAGUCACCAGCAUCUUUUCCAACCUUAAUGAACUGUAUCCUCAAAAGAACACUAUCAGACUGGCUCUGCCGACUUCCAGUUCUGGAACAAGAUGGUUAAACUCAUUUUUCCCUGCUCUGCUCCUCUAAAUACAACUAAGUACCUUGGAAACUAUUCAGCAGACAAUGAUAAAGGGCUCUGAAAGCUAGAAGAAAAGGUGUACUUGCAAGAAACCUCAGGACUUGAGUAACAGCAACAUGGCAGGCCAGAAAGCAGACCCAGGGAGGAUAGCACAUGUCUUCGGCUACACUGGUGAAGGCAUCGUGCCUGCUCCACAGCACAUUUUUAUUCAAGAUGUGUACCAUGUGAUGGCCAAGGGAGCUUCAUCAAUCAUGGCAUCUCAAGGGAGCUGGAGCAGAUGAGGAGGAGAUGGAGGUCCCAGGAAGGGCUGUGAUCUGCCUGGGGUCCCACAAUGGGAAACAGGCAUGAGCUCUCCACACUCCCUGUCCAAUGCUCUUUCCACUACAACUGGCUGUCGGUCUCCCAUAGGACAAGAAAAAACAGUCAAAAAGGAAAUCGAAGGGAUUUUUGUUUUUAUCCCUGUUCUUUUGUUGGUUCUAUCUGUUCUGUUUUGGGUAUUUUGUUUGUUUUUAUUUGUGUACUUUUUUUUUUUUUAAAUGGAGCUUCCAUCAUGUAGGAGUAGGGUGUAGAAAUCUGAGUUGGUGGCUCCCUGGUAUAAGACCAUAGCCUUCAUUUUGGUGAGUAACAACAUAAUUUCUGCUUUGAGUCCCAUUUUCUUGCAGUGGAAGCUUAAUCUCAGAGUAUCAAAAUCACUGCAUCUGAGCGUGGGCCUCCCCACAUCAUGGGAGGAGAAGGAUGAGUAGAUGAUGUCUCAUGGAGAGGACCUGCCAGGAUCCCUCAUCGCUGGCCUUCAGCUUUCUCAUCUGCCCUCAACCACAGAACCCUGGGAGGAGGCUCCCUCAGUGGCUCGUGCACUCUUGCAGGCCCUGUGAACAUAUAUACUUCCUGGUGGGAAGAGCAAGGGAGCCUCUGGUGGAAAGCAGCCCCAGGGUCCAAGAACCACACAGCCCUGCAUUAGGGCCCCCAGGGAGGGAGAAGACCAAGGUCAUGCUUUUGAACCUGGAUGCCAGAAGAGAACAGCUGUGGGGAAAAGCAUGCCUGGAACCAAGAAAAACAUGUUUACCAGGGGCCAUUCCUCACACCAGCUGCAGGCAGGGUCAGGAAAGCCACAGGCUGCACUGUAGUUGCAACCUUGCAUGCGGACGCAAGGCUCAGAAUGUUCCUCAAAGAUCCUAAAAUGUUCCCAGAGUCAGGCUGAGUCCAUUCAAAUGUUCACUCACCCUGGCCACACUCACUACACCUGACUUCCCUGUAUCAUGAGUUAGAGAAAUAGUAUAGAGUCUGGUUGAUGCUGGCAGGUGGGAGGGAAUGGGAUAGGAAGGAGAGAGAGAGAGAGCAAGAAAGAAGGCUGUUUGGGUUUUUGUCUAUAACAUAUGUAUAUACACUCAUCAAGUCCAUUAUUUAAAACCUCUUUCAUGGUUUCAAUUUCCUGUGGACCACUUUUCAUGCCCAUUUUAAGUUCCUUGAAGGCGAGGAGAUACAUGUGUAUCUGCCAGCUUCACUGUGCCUUAUAUCUUAGGCAAUCAAUAAAUAUUAGUAAAUCAAAGGAUGCCUGAUACUCUAAAAAUGUCUUAUUAUUUUUAGGUGAUUUGGGCAAAGCACACGCAUUGUAUUUGCAUCUGGGAACCACAUUUUUAAUUUAAAAAAGUUAUUUGUAGGCCGGACACGGUGGCUCACGCCUGUGAUUCCAGCACUUUGGGAAGCCGAGGUGGGCGGACCACUUCAGGCCAGGAGUUUGAGACCAGCCUGGCCAACAUGGCAAAACCCUGUCUCUACUAAAAAUACAAAAAUUAGCCAGGCGUGGUGAUGCAUCCCUGUACUCCCAGCUACUCGGGAGGCUGAGGCAUGAGAAUAUCUUGAACUGCUCCUUUUUAUUGCUGAGUGAUAUUCCAUUCUAUGAAGCUCAGUUUGCUUAUCCGUUCUCCUGUUGAUGAACAUCUGAUGUUUGCAGUUCUCCUCUCCGUGAGUCUUCUUGUAAACAUAAUUUUCAUUUCUCUUGGGAAAAACCCUAGGAGUGGUACUGCUGGGUCAAGGGGGUAGGUGUUUGUAUAGCUUUAUAAGAAGUUACCACAUCCUUACUAAUAUUUGGUGAUAGCUAUUCUUUAAGUUAAAAGUGUAGAGGCAUCUCGUUGUGGUUUUAAUUUUUAUCUCCCAAA